UUAUUGAUCGCCCAUCGACCCCGUCCGGGUAAGUAUACUUAUAAAUCAUUUUUGCAACAUUUCUACUCAACAAAGAAAGCUUUGGUCACGGAUCAAUACCAGUUUUUGCAACAUUUCUACUCAACAAAGAAAGCUUUGGUCACGGAUCAAUACCAGUUUUUGCAACAUUUCUACUCAACAAAGAAAGCUUUGGUCACGGAUCAAUACCAGAUAUGGAGAGGGGCGCUCAUGGAGAUAUUGAAUGGACCGAUAUUCCCACCUUCUAUGACCUCGAAAAGGCAUGAAUCAACCGUUUUUCACAAGUAGGAAGAUGUUCUAUGAAUAUUCAUCGAUUGUUAACCUCCGGAGUGAAGAGACUAAAUAAACUUUGGGUUAUAAGAAGCAAUAAGUAUUGUUUCAAUAGACAAAAACAUCGGGUACAAGGAAACUCGCCAUCAAGAGAGCUUAAUGCAGAAGAAAUUGGCUAUGACAUUGAGCCACUCGUUGCAACUAAUUGCAGCGUGCACACCGUAUUCUUUAGUAAAAGGCAAAAGAAUAGAUCGCUCUGUGAUCACUGAG
rnacentral:lncRNA from 1 species